ACGGAAGGCAGCAGUGGGGAAUAUUGGGCAAUGGGCGCAAGCCUGACCCAGCGACGCCGCGUGAGGGAAGAAGGUCUUCGGAUUGUAAACCUUGAUCAUUGGGGAAGAAGAAAAUGACGGUACCCAAGGAGAAGCCACGGCUAACUACGUGCCAGCAGCCGCGGUAAUACGUAGGUGGCAAGCGUUAUCCGGAUUUACUGGGUGUAAAGGGUGUGUAGGCGGGUGUGCAAGUCAGAUGUGAAAACUAUGGGCUCAACUCAUAGCCUGCAUUCGAAACUGCAUAUCUUGAGAGUCGGAGAGGUAAACGGAGUUCCCGGUGUAGCGGUGAAAUGCGCAGAUAUCGGGAGGAACAUCGGUGGCGAGGGCGGUUUACUGGACGACAACUGACGCUGAGACACGAAGGCGUGGGGAGCAAACAGGGU
rnacentral:rRNA from 1 species